rfam:Dendroctonus ponderosae Seq01005398, whole genome shotgun sequence.
CAAGCAUGAAUGCUGCUAUUUUCCGCUUCUUUUUUUACUUUAGCGCCUGACUCAGGAAGGCUUUCGCGCGUAAGAGAAGAAACGGAAACUAGCGCUAAAGCCUCCCCUGUGGAGGCUUUUUUUUU